rnacentral:rRNA from 1 species
UACGGGAGGCAGCAGGGGGAAUAUUGCACAAUGGGCGCAAGCCUGAUGCAGCCAUGCCGCGUGUAUGAAGAAGGCCUUCGGGUUGUAAAGUACUUUCAGCGGGGAGGAAGGCGAUGCGGUUAAUAACCGCGUCGAUUGACGUUACCCGCAGAAGAAGCACCGGCUAACUCCGUGCCAGCAGCCGCGGUAAUACGGAGGGUGCAAGCGUUAAUCGGAAUUACUGGGCGUAAAGCGCACGCAGGCGGUCUGUUAAGUCAGAUGUGAAAUCCCCGGGCUUAACCUGGGAACUGUAUUUUGAAACUGGCAGGCUUGAGUCUUGUAGAGGGGGUAGAAUUCCAGGUGUAGCGGUGAAAUGCGUAGAGAUCUGGAGGAAUACCGGUGGCGAAGGCGGCCCCUGGGACAAAGCUGACGCUCAGGUGCGAAAGCGUGGGGAGCAAAC